rnacentral:rRNA from 1 species
UACGUAGGGUACGAGCGUUAAUCGGAAUUACUGGGCGUAAAGUGUGCGCAGGCGGCUUCGCAAGUCGAGUGUGAAAUCCCCGAGCUUAACUUGGGAAUUGCGCUCGAAACUACGGAGCUGGAGUGUGGCAGAGGAAGGUGGAAUUCCACGUGUAGCGGUGAAAUGCGUAGAGAUGUGGAGGAACACCGAUGGCGAAGGCAGCCUUCUGGGCCAACACUGACGCUCAUGCACGAAAGCGUGGGGAGCAAACAGG